rnacentral:misc_RNA from 1 species
CAUGAUUCUCAAUCAUGCACUCAGGUUUGUUAUGUCUCAUAUCUUGUUUGUCAUGUUCAUCAGUAGUUUUUUGUUUGUCAUGUUUAUCAGUAGUUGUUUGUUUGUCAUUUGUGGUUGAACAAUUUUAUUUAUAGAAUUGUCAUCGGUUGAUUUAUUUGCUGAUUUUAGGAUUUUUUCCUCCCCCUGUUUAAUGAGAUCCUUCUGAAUAUUAAGAGGACUUUUCCAUCAUUAGGAGUAUAAGAAACAAAUAUUGAAGCUGAAUAGGUUGUUGUAUAAAUGACUUAAAUAGGUAUGAGAUAAUAAUAAAAAUUCGGCAAUACAUAAUAAGGAUUGGUUAUUUCUGCAUCCGCCUGUCAUUAUUUUUCUCCAGUGCUUUCCCUAAACGGUGCUAAGAUUGUCAAACUUUCAGCCAGCCUGGCGGAGAGCUUUGGCAAAUGAAUAUCAUUCAUGAUGUUGCUACUUGACAUGAACAUGCGGGGAAAUUUGUUUCAUCUUCAAAAAUUUUAAAUUCUACCAUAUAGACUCUGAUAUUUUAACUCUUCCUGUGCAGUGGUAUUGCUGUAUCCAUGGU